UGUAGUCUGUCUAAAUGUCCAUUUUAAUUGCCUGCAGAUAUUGUUGGUGACGUGUUUUGGAGGUAAACGUUUGUCUUAGUAUUUUUGUCAAUCGUGCUAUGCAACUCCUUGAUAAAUUGGUUAUCCACGGCGUGGAACCACGGGUUAUUGCAGCUACCAAUAUCAAUCCAAAAUUGGCUGGAGGUAUGCAUGUCCUGGAUUAGUAAUAUGAUUUAUAGUUUUACAUACUAAAUCUUUGACCUUAUUGCAGGACGUCCUUUCCUAAAUCCAGCCUCAGUAACCCUUUUCUAAUUUGCCGGUGAGUGUGAGGCCAUCACAAGUUGCAUCUAGGGGUAAGAGUUUAUGCAUUUAGUAUUUUUAUCAUUUUUGUAAAGGUUUUAUUAUGUGUAGACCCAUCGUUUUUCCUUUUAUUCAUGUUGGUGAACAUUGAUGAGGGUUCUUCCUCUUCACCCAAAAAAUUUACAGUGGUCAAAAAUUUCGAAUCAUUGAGUGUUUUGGAACUGAAUUCAUUUGUCCUAAACUCUCCUCCGCAGGUAAACCUUUGUAAUGAAACCCAUCCUGCUUAUUAGCUUCCUCUGUCACACUGCUGGUUCUGUCAAUACCACUUGGAAUCACAGUAGAAGUGCAGGUUGAAGACCUCCAAUGAGAAAGGGGUAAAGAUAAUGGUCCGUGUCCGGCUGUAAGAGAUGACGCUCCUUUCGAGGAGUCCCCUGUUGAAGAUUGUGGACCUCUACAAAGAAACCACGUAAUAGUUGAACUCCAGAAGAUCGAAGUGAAAGUUGGAGUCUGGUUUCACAACUGCUUCUUUUAUCUUUAAUUCCCAGCGUUUAAUAAGUUGUCAUUGAACUAUAUUGCAAUGUUUUCUGUUCUUUUGUUUUCUUUUUAAAUCAGCCUUACUAAUUUCUCAACUGCAAUGCAGUAUUUUAAACCCCUAUUGAAUUGUUAUAAUGUUAUGAAUAUUAGUGCCAAUUAUUUCAUAUAAUGUUUCAAUUAAGCACUUGGCUUGCCUGGAAUAGUAUUCUUAUUUCCUCUUGACAACCUUCAUAUGUCAGGUCCAUGUAACUUUUUUUUUGGGCAAUUUUUUUUUUUUGGGGGCAAAGGUCCAUGUAACCUUUUCUUUAUUCCUUUAAGAUUGUCGUACUUGGGGCAAAACAAUGUCAUUGAUAUUAAUACCAAAUCCUUCGUACAUAGUUUUCAGGCAUCUUGCUGGCUUAAAGGUAAAACGUGGUAUUUACAAUUCUGCUUGAAAGAUUGAAAACCAAAAUAGAUUAGUUUGCAAUUUAUGUUACUAUGAUAAACAAAUGAGGAAAUUUGUACCUUUCUAUUAGCCUCAACUUUGAAACAAAGUAAUAUAUUAUGGUCGCUAACCACUAUCAAAUGGAUUGGAAAAAAUAUUUUCUCUUUCAACAUAUUUUUAUUUUUAUAUUUUUGAAUAAAUUUUCUUUACUAAGACCACAAAAUAAAUUAUAAAUUCAUUUAAAAAUAAAACAUACGAAUCCGGCGCGUAGCGCCGGAAAACCACUAGUUAUUUAUAAAAUACAUUUGUUUAUAUACUACCACUUGAGACUUAACUGUCUUUG
rnacentral:lncRNA from 1 species